rnacentral:rRNA from 1 species
UACGUAGGGUGCGAGCGUUGUCCGGAAUUAUUGGGCGUAAAGGGCUCGUAGGCGGUUUGUCGCGUCGGGAGUGAAAUCCACUGGCUUAACUGGUGGCUUGCUUUCGAUACGGGCAGACUGGAGGUAUGCAGGGGAGAACGGAAUUCCUGGUGUAGCGGUGAAAUGCGCAGAUAUCAGGAGGAACACCGGUGGCGAAGGCGGGUUGCUGGGCCGACACUGACGCUGAUGCGCGAAAGCCAGGGGAGCGAACGGG